UGCCCAGCAACUUCCUAUCCCUACCUCCUCGUGGUACUUGCCGAAAACUAUAUGCAACCUUAGGGAAGAUCGGCUAACCAACCCCGGUGGGAACUUUGGUCGCAGGCUGACAGGGAAGG
rnacentral:ribozyme from 1 species